GCGCUUCUGCGGCACAUUGACUAGAACCGGAACGAUACAGAAAAGAUUAGCACUGCCCCUGCACAAGGGUGACUCACCACUUUAGAAGCGCUUCAUACUUUC
ensembl:snRNA U6 U6 spliceosomal RNA